GAAACCGGGAUUAAUACCAAUAAAAUCAUAAUGACACAUGUCAUAACGAUCAAAACUCCGGUGGUCUAAGAUGGACUCGCGUCCCAUUAGCUAGUUGGUAGAGUAAAAGCCUACCAAGGCGACGAUGGGUAGCCGGCCUGAGAGGGUGAACGGCCACAUUGGGACUGAGAUACGGCCCAG
rnacentral:rRNA from 1 species